rnacentral:rRNA from 1 species
CGUAGGUGAACCUGCGGAAGGAUCAUUACAGUAUGAUUAUGGGGGGGUUGGAUGCUGGCCCGUGAGGGCAUGUUGCGCACUCCCCUGUUGUUAAUCCUACAUAUACACCUGUGCACCUAUGGCGAGCGCCUCCCAUUUGGAGCCGUUUGAUGUCAAACCUUCCUUUCUUUGGGGGGUGAGGCUCGGACCGGGGUGCUCCCUCUUUUUCAUUACCAUCUCAGCCUGUUUGAACGCAUGUUUUAAGCUUUACGGAGCUGAAAAGUAAUAUAACUUUCAACAACGGAUCUCUUGGCUUUCGCAUCGAUGAAGAACGCCGCGAAAGUGCGAAACGUAAUGUGAAUUGCAGAAUUCAGUGAAUCAUCGAAUCUUUGAACGCAUCUUGCGCUCCUUGGUAUUCCGAGGAGCAUGCCUGUUUGAGUGUCGUGAAACCCUCUCGACCCUCCUCUUUAAAAGGGAGGAGGGUUGGAUUUGGAUGCUUGCGACGGUCUUGGCCUGUCGCUCGUCUUUAAAUGCAUUAGCUUGGCCUUUGGAGUCGGUCCGAUGACGGUGUGAUAAUAAACGUCUUGUUUUUGGCGCCGUUUGGGUCCGAUUCUAAUUUGAGGUAGCUUCUAAUUGAUCAUCUUUGCAUCUGACCUCAAAUCAGGUAGGAUUACCCGCUGAACUUAAGCAUAUCAAUAAGCGGAGGAAAAGAAACUAACUAGGAUUCCCCUAGUAACGGCGAGUGAAGCGGGAAGAGCUCAAAUUUGUAAUCUGGCGGCUUACGGUCGUCCGAGUUGUAGUCUGGAGAAGCGUUUUCAGUGUCGGACCGUGUACAAGUCCUUUGGAACAGGGCGUCGUAGAGGGUGAGAAUCCCGUCUUUGACAUGGACUGCCGAUGCUUUGUGA